rnacentral:rRNA from 1 species
UACGUAGGUGGCGAGCGUUGUCCGGAUUUACUGGGCGUAAAGGGAGCGUAGGCGGACUUUUAAGUGAGAUGUGAAAUACUCGGGCUCAGCUUGAGUGCUGCAUUUCAAACUGGAAGUCUAGAGUGCAGGAGAGGAGAAUGGAAUUCCUAGUGUAGCGGUGAAAUGCGUAGAGAUUAGGAAGAACACCAGUGGCGAAGGCGAUUCUCUGGACUGUAACUGACGCUGAGGCUCGAAAGCGUGGGGAGCAAACAGG